rnacentral:tRNA from 1 species
GGAUGUAGUUCAAUGGUAGAACACUUACCUAGUAUGCAAGAUGCCCUGGGUUCAAUCUCCCAGCACCA